UACGUAGGGCGCAAGCGUUGUCCGGAAUCAUUGGGCGUAAAGCGUGCGUAGGUGGUUGUUUAAGUCUGCUGUGAAAGCCCUGGGCUCAACCUGGGAAUUGCAGUGGAUACUGGGCGACUAGAGUGUGGUAGAGGAUAGUGGAAUUUCCGGUGUAGCAGUGAAAUGCGUAGAGAUCGGAAGGAACAUCUGUGGCGAAGGCGACUAUCUGGGCCAACACUGACACUGAGGCACGAAAGCGUGGGGAGCAAACAGG
rnacentral:rRNA from 1 species